ensembl:lincRNA
UUGCUGUAAUCGUUUGCUACUUGUGAUCCCAUUUGAGAUAUUUAAUGCUGAUCUGUGCUUUGCCUUGGCUUUCCGCUCUGUGUUUUCCUGUCUUGCUUUUAUGUUUUUGUUGUCCUGCAAUCCCUCAUUUCUUCGUUUGCUUUGUGUGUUUUUUUUCUCACUCAUGCUUGUUGUUGUCUGCACUUGGUUUUGAUUGCAAAAAAAAAAAAAAAACAGAACAAAACACACAAAAAAACAAAACAAAACCCAAACUGUGGGGCCCAAAAAUCUGCGUGGCCUUGGUGACCUGCACUCUGCGCCCGCCCCCGCUUGGCUGCUGUGGUUGCGGCUUCGCUGCUGGGCUUGGGCUGUGCUGUGGGGGAAGCGCUCACCCCAGCACCGGCUUCUUGCCCGCAGGUUUCAUUUCUGUGAGACGUGUUUCAGUGCAAUCCAAGGGGAGAGCGUUUCUUUGGGGGAUGACCCUUCCCAGCCUCAAACUACGAUAAAUAAAGAACAAUUUUCCAAAAGAAAAAAUGACACACUGGAUCCUGAACUGUAAGUGGUUUCAGAAUCUCCUUGAAUGUUCAGUGAACUUUAAUUUUCCUUCUUCCGUCCCUUACUGGUUUGUGUGGUUAUCUGUAUUCUUGGGCUAACUCUACAUGGUCCUAAUAUAGCUCAGGGAAAUGUGGAAAACAUUAAGUGUUAGGGUUGUUAGCAUACUUACAACUAGUAUAUAUUUCAUUGAAUCUACCUAAUACUUUGAUGUUUCGUACAUAUAUAAAAAACCCAAGUGGAACACCACGCUACCUGUCCUCAGUCUGUAUGUUCCAUCUUGUCGUCCUCUGCGUUUCAUGCAGGUGAUCGCUGCUCAUAGAGCAGGUGGGGCGUCCAUAUCCCCCCCUUGUCAUGAGGCCUUUAAGACUAAGGGGCGCUGACCUGCGCCACUCCUCCAGUGUCCCUAGAGAUGGGGGGCUGGCAGACGCACUUGGAAGCGGCAGAGGUCGUGAGCUUUGCCUUCUCGCUACCUUUACACUGUCACAGUUAAAAUGACUGCUUUUGACAUUGCUCUACCUGUAACACUAAAGAGCUUUUAAAAACAAAAGAUAUUUUUCCAAUCCCUUGCGAGUGACUUGGCUCCAUCUUUGUAAGAAAUCAAGGGGCAUAUGCUAAACUUUGAAUUGAUUAAAGUUUUGGAAUUAAUCUUGGAUUUGGUUCUGCAUUUCCAGGUUUGUUGAAUGUAAAGAGUGUGGCAGGAAGAUGCAUCAGAUUUGUGUACUUCAUCAUGAGGUCAUCUGGCCCUCUGGGUGAGGAAUAUACCAAUAUUUUCUCUAGGAUUUUAUCACAGAGUUUUUACAGAUUGCUCUGGAGAUUGGGAAAAGUUCAUUAAAAUCCAAUUUUAAAACAUGAAAUAACCUAGAAUUCAAAAAUAAAAAUAGAGGGAAGUGGACUUGGCCCAGAGGAUAGAGCGUCCGUCUACCACAUGGGAGGUCUGUGGUUCAAACCCCGGGCCUCCUUGACCCGUGUGGAGCUGGCCCAUGCGCAGUGCUGAUGUGCACAAGGAAUGCCGUGCCACGCAGGGGUGUCCCCCACAUAGGGGAGCCCCAUGCGCAAGGAGUGCGCCCCGUAAGGAGAGCCGCCCAGCGCGAAAGAAAGUGCAGGCUGUCCAGGAAUGGUGCUGCACACAUGGAGAGCUGACACAAGAUGAUGCAACAUCAAAGAGAUACGGAUUCCCGUGCAAAUGGACACAGAGAACAGACAACUGGGGCAGGGGAAGGGAUCUUUAAAAAAAAAAACAACAAAUAAAAAUAGACCUCUCUCCAGGAUUGAACCCCAUAUGUUGGAGGCAGGUGCUCAACCACCGAGCUGUACCUGCUCCCCUACCCCUUUCUCUUAUUGUUUUAACCUGUACAUGUCUUGUAUUAUGCUUUUCCCCCCACUUAAUGGCAUAUCAUUUUGGCUUUUUCCACAAGUUUUCUUAGUUUUGAAUGAAUAUAUGACUGCAUGGACAUGUAAUUAUAAACAGACAUUUUGAUGUUUUUGUGGGUUUUUUUCCUAAUUUUACAGUUUUACUAUAAAAGUGAAAUGCUUUUGAAAGAUUUAACA